rnacentral:rRNA from 1 species
CCUACGGGUGGCAGCAGUGGGGAAUAUUGCACAAUGGGGGAAACCCUGAUGCAGCGACGCCGCGUGAGUGAAGAAGUAUUUCGGUACGUAAAGCUCUAUCAGCAGGGAAGAAAAUGACGGUACCUGACUAAGAAGCCCCGGCUAACUACGUGCCAGCAGCCGCGGUAAUACGUAGGGGGCAAGCGUUAUCCGGAUUUACUGGGUGUAAAGGGAGCGUAGACGGCAGCGCAAGUCUGGAGUGAAAUCCCAUGGCUUAACCAUGGAACUGCUUUGGAAACUGUGCAGCUAGAGUGCAGGAGAGGUAAGCGGAAUGCCUAGUGUAGCGGUGAAAUGCGUAGAUAUUAGGAAGAACACCGGUGGCGAAGGCAGCUUACUGGACUGUAACUGACGUUGAGGCUCGAAAGCGUGGGGAGCAAACAGGAUUAGAUACCCCGGUAGUC